AUAUUAUCCGAAGCUGACAGAGAGUCACCCUCGCUGAUGUCGGUCUUCGUUAUCGUUCACACGUGUUGUGUGCCUUCACAGCUUUGCUGGUUUAUCCUGCGUGCCGUUGUCACUGUCUGUCUCGUUGUAACAUUUGUUGUUUUUGGCUGUGAACUGUACUUCAUGUUUGAUUUUUUAUUUAGUUGUUUUUUAUUCAUCAUUCUCCUGCUAUUUCAUGUAUUUCUUUAGCUAUGUUUUAUUUGUUGUGAUCCUUCCUUUUUCGCAUCAAAGUUGAAAUUCCAAUCCAGAAGCUCUUGAAUUCCCGAGCAUGCAUUUGUCACGAUACCGCUCCACCACAGAUUUAUUUUGUAGGUUUUAUUUGAUGUUUUCAGCUGUGAUGUUACUCCAGUUUGAGAUGAAACUCGAGCUCCAGAGGUCUGUUGUGCUGUAGUACUUUGAGGUUUCCAACCUGAAGACAUAAACAAUUCAAGCUUUCAGAGAAAUCACCAAAGGACAUUGAGUAGACUUCAUGUAUCUGUCUCGAGAUAUAAAAUAUUUCAUAUAAUAGUGUUUAAAAUAUGUAUAUAAAUAAAUCCUCUAGGAUGUAACAUAGAUGUUCUUCUUCACUUCAGCUGAGUAUGGAUCUAGAGUAAUUACCUAUUACAAAUCAUUUAAAUAGAAUAGAAUAGCCAUUGUAAUCCCAUAGUGGGGAAAUUCACUCAUGCAUGCAGUACAUACACUUAGCAAAUAGAGAAAAAAUUAUACUGUUGCAUUAUGUAAGAAUUUUCCAGUAAAAUAAUCACAAACCAAUCUGAUGUCUCAUUCAUGUUGAAAGGAAGGUUACACUGAAACAAAUUUCAUUCUCAGCCAAAUGGAGAGUUUUCUUUUUCUAAAAAGGUAGACGAGGGAUGUAGGUUCAGUCAGAGCUGUAAAGAGAGUUGCGACACUCCAAUAGAGCUCCGGGAGUUGACGUCACUUCUCCCGGCAUGCAACAGUUCAAAUCGAAACGGCGCCAUCUUGGCAGGUAGAAGCCGGCAGCUGGACUAUUUGUUACUGUCAGAAAACGCAAUCAGACAGGAAAUAUGGUAGAUUCCUGUUGUGCCCCAGGAUGCAGAACAGACACGGACGACAUAAGGAAUGAGCCAUCUACAGGAUUCCCCAAGAUCCGGAGUGCCGCAAACGUUGGAUCAUUGUAGAAAAACGCGCUAGUGACCGGGCUAAAAUGAAACUGUGGGAUCCCGAGAGUAAAGGUUUUCGCUUAUGCAGCGACCACUUCAUAUCAGGUACUUAAACCAACGUUUCCUCAACUGUGUGUGGUAUUUAUUUGAAAUGCUUUUAUUACGAUUCUUAGUGGGCUUCCUAAACUAAUUUUGGCGUGGCUUUUUCUGUCUUAUUACUCAUAGCAACAAGUAAACAUCACGUAAAACGUUGCCUCGUGAGUUCUGCGUGCUGCCGUUUAGGUGUUUUAUGAUCACAGCAAUUAACCGGCUAAGCUGUAUUUAAUUUUUAAGCAAUGGUUGAUCAAUUGUCAGAUCACACAUAAAAAGCACUUUGGAUUGCUAUUAUCUGUCUCACCGAGACAGAUCUCAGACAGAUCCUGAGACGCUCCUGCCUGACAUAUUUAUUUUAUUCACGGAAAAAACAAUCAAACUAGUGAUUUCUCUUGGCGUUCAGUUUAUACAUUUAAACAGCACAGCACUCUAUUUAAACUACUUUCAUGUAAAUCUGUUAUUUGUCCAUUCAUCCAUCCAUUUUCAUCCGCGUAUCCGGAGUCGGGUUGCGGGGGCAGUAGCGUUGAGAGGCCCAGACUUCCCUCUCUCCAGGGGUUCCCCGGCCAGGUCCGGUAAGAAGUCCGCUCCGACAGCUUCUGGCGUUUUUACAAAGCAUCCCAGGGGCACGGUAAGGGUCGGAGAUGUUUAGUCUAUUUAAUUUCUGACUAUAUAAAACAAUUUCUUCAGUUUUAAAGAGUGAAGUGUUUGUUUAGAUUCUUUUACCUGCCAAUAUGGCGUCUACUAACUGAGAGUCACGUGGGGUCUGGAGCUCUAUUGACUUCUAUGGAAAGAAUGGAAUGCAGAAGUCACGUGGUUCACGUAGCUUCGAAUAGUUCCAAACAGCCCCGCUGCUGCAUUGACUGCAGUUCAUUUUCGGCGUUUCGGAAGCAUUUUCUCCGGUAAGUUGAUGACAUCUCAUCAUUUUGUUGCAUUGUGAAGCGUUAGCUAAGUUAACCGCUUCGUACCAAAAUAAGCCAACAAUGAUAUUUUAUGUUGCCAGUUUUAGCUAGAUAACAUUUAAUGAGCUAACUGUGUGCAGCUUGUUGAUUGUGAGAAGGGGGACGAGCUGUAGACGGGUUUCUUUCAGCUUGUUUGAUUCUACGUUUUAAAAAUAUUCCCCACAGUUUGACAUAGUUUAUAAACUUUUUACAUUAUUAGUUUUAUUUGGGAUUUUUGUACAACAUGUUGCUGGUUGCUGUAUCAACACGAACAUGCAUGAGAAAUGGAAGCACAAAUGGAGACCAAUAAUAAAGAAAAUGUGAUUGUGAAGACAAGUAAUUAUUUAAUAUUUUUCAGGUAAUAACACUGACUGCAACGAACUGCUGAAGCAUGAGACAAACAGCAUUAUGAACUGGCUGAGCGGAGAGCUGACCAGGAACAACGGUGGUGGCAAAACCCAGUUGGGUCUGUGAUGGAGUGAUGCACGCCUGAAGUGAUUGCCAUCUCAUCCACAGGUUCCAACAUCAGGCAGAGGGAUACUCGUGUCCUGAAGAAACCUGUAGCCUGUUGAACCCACUGAAAAACAGAGUUGUACAGCCUAUUUGAUUGUCUGUUUACUCCAUUUAAUGCCUCUUGUGUUUGUCAUGACAAUUGCCUUCAAUUGAUCUUUAGUAAAAAAUUGGCCUAUUUUUUUUCCAUGUUGAAAACUUUCUUUCACCGGACUGAAUUAAUUUUUGUCUGUGUUUUACGUGCCCCUUCCAAGCUCCUAAUGUGUUCUUUUUGACUUUCUGUUUCCUCCCUUAGGUUUUCCAGCUGGGUUCCCUGGUUGCAUAGCCUUUUCCUUUCUCCUCCUGGCCCUGACGCCGGCUCCUCAUGGCUUCCUGGGAUGUCCCUCUCUCCUGAUACCAUCUCAUGUCUCUCCUCACUUUCCCUCACCUCAUUUGCCGCACUGCUGCUGCUUUCCUCAUUCUCUGUAAUUAUAAUGACACUGUUAGAAUAGAAAUUUUUAAAAACAAAAUAAAGACAAAUGAAAGAUUCGUAUUACAGUUAACUUGAGUACAAUAUGUGUGGUUGCUGGUCAGUGGAUCAACAUGCAGUGGUUCUGCUGUGCUUCACUGCAGGAUCCGUCCUCCUCCUUGGUUCAGGGCGAUGAACAAACACAGCAUCAGCCCUGAGUCUCACCUUGCCUUGUCUAAGCUUAGUAAACUGUCCCUCCUCAAAAUAUGCCUAUAGAGUGGUGUAUUAGUUUAUUUCCUGCCACAUUUAACAGUUUAAUUGCAGCCUUGUGCAGUUGAGAGCAAAACAUGCAGAGCCUUGAUAGAAAACAUUGGAGAGUGCACAUUAAACUCACUGCACACAGCUUUUUGUUAUUGUGAUCUCUGGUCAUGGUGAGGUUGCUCCUGCUGACUUAAGCUAACCAUUUUGUCUCUGCAUCUUUGGGUAAGCCAUAAUUCUGAUUCCUCCCUCAGACCUGCUACAUCCAUAUGCAGUGCAGCCAACCAUGUAAGAUAAUCAACCGAUAAAUGUAUUAUUAAAAUAUAGAAAUAUUGAACAAAGCCAAAAAUAUAGAGAUGUAAAAUUACAUUUUAAAAUUUUAUCCAACCAUAAAAUUUGUAAUUUCAAAUUUUAACCCUCAGACAAAUUUUAUGUUAAUAAUUAUCUAAAUAAAGUUAUUCACAAGAGUUUCAUUAGGUCUUGAGUACACUGCUCAUAAUUAAUGAUUCAGCUUAUUUGCACAUAUGUAAUGACCAAACGUAAUGUGGUUUGUAGAAAAUGUUUGUGUUGCCUAGCAACAGCCUUGUCUGAGUCUCCAUUUCGUGUUGGGACUAUUUGUGUUGGCGGAGCCUGAUAAAUGAUUAAAUAAAUGAACAAAUCAUAAUAUGUUGUUGCUUAUUGUUGUUAUAAAAAUAAAAUGAGCAGGUAGAACUGUUGUAUGAAAGCAAUAUCACACUCGAUGUCAUGCGUUGUUGCUGAAUAUCAGCACUGGUUGUGAUUAUCUACGGCACGAGGCCGUAGGCCGAGUGCCUACGACCGAGUCACACCAGUGCUGAUAUUCAGCAACAACGCACUCCCUCUCGUGUGAUAUUGCUUAAUUAGAUCGAAAAUGUCCUGUAUUUGAUGUAGCACUUUCUAGGGUUCUUCAACCCCCCAAGGCACUUUACAACACAAUCAGUCAUUCACCCACACACACACACAAUCAUACUGUGGUGGUGAUGAGCUACAUCAUCGCCACAGCUGCCCUGGAGCACAGUGGCAGAGGCGAGGCUGUCGAACACUGGUGCCACCGAUCCCUCCGACCACCACCAGCAUGCGAGGAGUGUUAAGUGUCUUGCCCAAGAACACGACUGCGACAGAUGGGGCUUUAACCUACAACCCUCUGGUUUCAGGGCGGGCCUCUGCUUCUGUCUCUUAGAUGUUGAAAUGUGACUCCUUCUACACAAACAUUUAGCUCAGUGUCUGUUUCAAAAACGUUCUUUAGAUGUGGCAGCCAUCUUGAAUUGGAUUGAUUUUCAACAUGAACCAGUAGACCACAUAAAACUCAGACAAAAACAGUUUUGCCCACCUUCCACCUUUUGAUGGUUCGUUAUCCACAGAGGAAUGAUGCAGUUUGAGUUGUGUCCAUGUGUUUGUUUUCUGAAGUCUACCAAGUUGUCUUCCAGUUCAACUGUGUUCAUGCUGUUUUUGAGUCAGGAACAAAACAUAAAUUUCUUCCCCAUGUGUUGUUUUAUAUGUGAGUUUCUGUCAGCUCAGAGCAUGUUUUUAUGUUUGUAAAGAUGUGUUUUUGAAAGACCUUUAGCUGGUAUGUAAAGCACAGUUUCUG